UACGUAGGGUGCGAGCGUUGUCCGGAAUUAUUGGGCGUAAAGAGCUCGUAGGCGGUUUGUCGCGCCUGCUGUGAAAACCCGAGGCUCAACCUCGGGCCUGCAGUGGGUACGGGCAGACUAGGGUGCGGUAGGGGAGAUUGGAAUUCCUGGUGUAGCGGUGGAAUGCGCAGAUAUCAGGAGGAACACCGAUGGCGAAGGCAGAUCUCUGGGCCGUAACUGACGCUGAGGAGAGAAAGCAUGGGGAGCGAACAGG
rnacentral:rRNA from 1 species